rnacentral:rRNA from 1 species
GACGAACGCUGGCGGCAUGCCUAACACAUGCAAGUCGAGCGAGCAGAUCCCUUCGGGGUGAAGCUAGCGGCGGACGGGUGAGUAACACGUGGGCAACCUGCCUCAUAGAGGGGAAUAGCCUUCCGAAAGGAAGAUUAAUACCGCAUAAGAUUGUAGCUUCGCAUGAAGUAGCAAUUAAAGGAGCAAUCCGCUAUGAGAUGGGCCCGCGGCGCAUUAGCUAGUUGGUGAGGUAACGGCUCACCAAGGCGACGAUGCGUAGCCGACCUGAGAGGGUGAUCGGCCACAUUGGGACUGAGACACGGCCCAGACUCCUACGGGAGGCAGCAGUGGGGAAUAUUGCACAAUGGGGGAAACCCUGAUGCAGCAAUGCCGCGUGAGUGAUGACGGCCUUCGGGUUGUAAAGCUCUGUCUUCGGGGACGAUAAUGACGGUACCCGAGGGGGAAGCCACGGCUAACUACGUGCCAGCAGCCGCCGUAA